rfam:Gossypium hirsutum cultivar TM-1 chromosome 5, whole genome shotgun sequence
GGGUAAAUUAGUCAUUUCUACUAUUAAAAACUGGAGCUGCUGACAAAAUAACCAGAUAAUUUCAUGUGACGUGCCAUGUGUACCUUAUUCUGAUAUAUAGGGACCAAUUUUUAACAAUAGAAAUGAAUGGAAUCUUUAGCA